UAGGGAAUCUUCGGCAAUGGACGGAAGUCUGACCGAGCAACGCCGCGUGAGUGAAGAGGGUUUUCGGAUCGUAAAGCUCUGUUGUAAGAGAAGAACGAGUGUGAGAGUGGAAAGUUCACACUGUGACGGUAUCUUAUCAGAAAGGGACGGCUAACUACGUGCCAGCAGCCGCGGUAAUACGUAAGUCCCGAGCGUUGUCCGGAUUUAUUGGGCGUAAAGCGAGCGCAGGCGGUUAGAUAAGUCUGAAGUUAAAGGCUGUGGCUUAACCAUAGUACGCUUUGGAAACUGUUUAACUUGAGUGCAAGAGGGGAGAGUGGAAUUCCAUGUGUAGCGGUGAAAUGCGUAGAUAUAUGGAGGAACACCGGUGGCGAAAGCGGCUCUCUGGCUUGUAACUGACGCUGAGGCUCGAAAGCGUGGGGAGCAAACAGGAUUAGAUACCCUGGUAGUCCACGCCGUAAACGAUGAGUGCUAGGUGUUAGACCCUUUCCGGGGUUUAGUGCCGUAGCUAACGCAUUAAGCACUCCGCCUGGGGAGUACGACCGCAAGGUUG
rnacentral:rRNA from 1 species